rnacentral:rRNA from 1 species
UACAGAGGGUGCGAGCGUUAAUCGGAAUUACUGGGCGGAAAGCGCGCGUAGGCGGCUUUGCAAGUCGGGUGUGAAAUCCCCAGGCUUAACCUGGGAACUGCAUUCGAGACUGCAUUGCUAGAGUAUGGGAGAGGGAAGUGGAAUUUCCGGCGUAGCGGUGAAAUGCGCAGAUAUCGGGAAGAACACCCGUGGCGAAGGCGGCACUCUGGGACGGUACUGACGCUGAGACGCGAAAGCGUGGGGAGCGAACAGG